UACGUAGGGUGCGAGCGUUAAUCGGAAUUACUGGGCGUAAAGCGUGCGCAGGCGGUUUUGGAAGACAGAGGUGAAAUCCCCGGGCUCAACCUGGGAACUGCCUUUGUGACUGCAAGGCUUGAGUGCGGCAGAGGGGGGUAGAAUUCCACGUGUAGCAGUGAAAUGCGUAGAGAUGUGGAGGAAUACCGAUGGCGAAGGCAGCCCCCUGGGAUAACACUGACGCUCAUGCACGAAAGCGUGGGGAGCAAACAGG
rnacentral:rRNA from 1 species